rnacentral:lncRNA from 1 species
GCAGUAGCAAGAUUUAUUGCAAAGAGCUAAAGAACAAAGCUACAUAUCAGAUAAAAUAGACUUUAAGUCAAAAGUUGUAAAAGGAGACAAUGAAAGUCAAUAUCCCUGGGAUGCAGGAAGGGUUCAACAUAUAUGAAUCAAUAACAGAUGAAGGAUAAAAACCAUAAUGAUCAUCUCAAUAGAUGCAGAAAAGGAAUUUGACAAA